rnacentral:rRNA from 1 species
UCUUCACCGUUGCGCUGGUGAUCAACGAUUACUCGAAAUUCCUUCUUCAUGUUGCCGAGUUUCAGGCAACAAUCCGGUUAAGUAUAAAUUAACAAUAGGGAUUGCGUUCGUUAGCGGAAUUAACCAAACAUCUCACGAUACGAACCGACGACAGCCAUGCAACACCUGUAAAUGAAUUGGUAAGAUUUUACGCGGAUUAUCGUAUUAAACAACAUGCUUCACUUCGUUUGCUUCGGGGCCGACUAAUUUUUUUGUUUUCACUUUUGCAAGUAUACUCACAAGGCGGAAUGGUUAACGUGUUCACAUCGAGCAGCCUACAAACCCUUUACGCCUAUUUAUGAUGACUAACGUUUGUGUAUUUGGUAUUACCGAGUCUUCUGGCACCAAUUUUAGACGACACUAAUAAUAAGGUAACGUCAUUAUCCUCCCUUACUUUAUCACAAGCUAUUGAUCGUAGGCUUGGUAGGCCAUUACCCUAUCAACUACCUA